GAUGAACGCUGGCGGCGUGCCUAAUACAUGCAAGUCGAGCGAACAGAUAAGGAGCUUGCUCCUUUGACGUUAGCGGCGGACGGGUGAGUAACACGUGGGUAACCUACCUAUAAGACUGGGGUAACUUCGGGAAACCGGAGCUAAUACCGGAUAACAUUUGGAACCGCAUGGUUCUAAAGUGAAAGAUGGUUUUGCUAUCACUUAUAGAUGGACCCGCGCCGUAUUAGCUAGUUGGUAAGGUAACGGCUUACCAAGGCGACGAUACGUAGCCGACCUGAGAGGGUGAUCGGCCACACUGGAACUGAGACACGGUCCAGACUCCUACGGGAGGCAGCAGUAGGGAAUCUUCCGCAAUGGGCGAAAGCCUGACGGAGCAACGCCGCGUGAGUGAUGAAGGGUUUCGGCUCGUAAAACUCUGUUAUUAGGGAAGAACAAAUGUGUAAGUAACUGUGCACGUCUUGACGGUACCUAAUCAGAAAGCCACGGCUAACUACGUG
rnacentral:rRNA from 1 species